AAGAAAGUAAGCAAGGGCGCAUGGCGGAUGCCUUGGCUCUCGGAGGCGAUGAAGGACGUGAUAAGCUGCGAUAAGCUUCGGGCAGGUGCAAAUAACCUUUGAUCCGAAGAUUUCCGAAUGGGACAACCCGUCAUUCUGAAGGAAUGACAUCUUGCAUAGCAAGAGGCUAACGCAGGGAACUGAAACAUCUUAGUACCUGUAGGAAAAGAAAAUAAUAAUGAUUCCCCUAGUAGUGGCGAGCGAACGGGGAUUAGCCCAAACCAAUGUUGUUACGGCAAUAUUGGGGUUGUAGGACCACG
rnacentral:rRNA from 1 species